UCCUCUGUAGUUCAGUCGGUAGAACGGCGGACUGUUAAUCCGAAUGUCACUGGUUCGAGUCCAGUCAGAGGAGCCA
rnacentral:tRNA from 1 species